AUGGCGAGCUCGUCGCGCUGUGCCCUCUUCUUCUUCUUCUUGGAGGUUGCCGUCGCGAUCGCGCUGCUCCUUCCGAGCGGCCACGCGCGGGUCUGCCCGCCGUGCGGCUCGACGGAGGUGCCGUACCCGCUCAGCACGGCGGACGGGUGCGGCGACCCGGACUACAAGGUCCGGUGCGCGGCGGCGGUUGGCGGCGGCGGCAGGCCGACGCUCUUCUUCGACGCGCUCAACGGCACGUCCUACCCGAUCACGUCCAUCUCCCCGGCGGCGCAGCGCCUCGUGGUGUCGCCGGCGCCGUUCGUGCCGGGGGCCGCCUCCUGCGUGUCCGAGGGCGCGUCGGACUCCCGCGGCGUGCAGCUCAACGCGUCGCUGCCGUUCAACGUCAGCUCGUCCAACACCGUGAUGCUGCUCAAUUGCACGGAGCUGCUGCUCCGGUCGCCGCUCAACUGCUCCUCCAACUCGCUCUGCCACGUCUACGCCAACGCCACGGGGUCCACGGCGUCGGCCUGCGCACCGCUGCCGCUGUGCUGCACGUUCGUCGCGGGCGGGUCGUCGACGUCGUACCGCAUCCGGCUGGGCCCGCAGUCGUGCAGCGCGUACCGGAGCUUUGUGGGGCUCGACCCGUCGACGCCGCCGGCGACGUGGGGCAGCCGCCUCGGGCUGGAGCUGCAGUGGGCGACGCCGAGGGAGCCGCUGUGCCGCACGCAGGCCGACUGCGAGGACGGCGCCGCCGCGGCCACCUGCGCGGACGACCCGCUCGCCCCGUCGGUCCGCCGCUGCUUUUGCGUCUCCGGGCUCGUCUGGAACCCCAUCGCCGGCGCGUGCCAGCAACAGAAUCUCACGGAUUGCCAGAGCACGGGAAACUGUAGCGGAUCCAACCACGCGCCUCUCAUUGCUGGGAUCGUGUGCGGCCUAGGCGGCGCGUUGGUGGUGGCCGCCGCGGGGCUGUUUGCUUACCGGCGGCAGCAGCGGAUCCGGCAGGCCAGGGAGAGGCUGGCCAAGGAGCGCGAGGAGAUCCUCAACGCCAACAACUCCAGCGGCCGCACCGCCAAGAACUUCUCCGGCCGGGAGCUGAGGCGCGCCACCGCCAACUUCUCCCGCGACAACCUGCUCGGCGCCGGCGGCUACGGCGAGGUCUACAGGGGGGUGCUCGCCGACGGCACCGUGGUGGCCGUCAAGUGCGCCAAGCUCGGCAACACCAAGUCCACGGACCAGGUGCUGAACGAGGUGCGCGUGCUGUCGCAGGUCAACCACCGCAGCCUCGUCCGCCUCCUCGGCUGCUGCGUCGACCUCGAGCAGCCGCUCAUGGUGUACGAGUUCAUCCCCAACGGCACGCUCGCCGACCACCUCCACGGCGCGCUGAGCCGCCCGCCGCUGCCGUGGCGGCAGCGCCUGGCGAUCGCGCACCAGACCGCGGAGGGCAUCGCCUACCUGCACUCCUCGGCGGUGCCGCCGAUCUACCACCGCGACAUCAAGUCCAGCAACAUCCUCCUCGACGAGCGGCUCCGCGGCAAGGUGUCGGACUUCGGGCUGUCCCGGCUGGCGGAGCAGGGGCUGAGCCACGUCUCGACGUGCGCGCAGGGGACGCUGGGCUACCUCGACCCGGAGUACUACCGGAACUACCAGCUCACCGACAAGAGCGACGUCUACAGCUUCGGCGUCGUGCUGCUGGAGCUCCUCACGUCGCAGCGCGCCAUCGACUUCGGCCGCGGCGCCGACGACGUCAACCUGGCGGUGCACGUGCAGCGCGCCGCCGACGAGGAGAGGCUGAUGGACGUGGUGGACCAGGCGCUGCAGGGCGGCGCCACGCGGCUGGAGCGCGACACCAUGAAGGCGCUCGGGCUGCUUGCGCUGGGCUGCCUCGAGGAGCGCCGCCAGAACCGGCCGUCCAUGAAGGAGGUCGCGGAGGAGAUCGAGUACAUCAUGAACAUCGAGGCCGGCAACGCUGGUCUCAAGGACCUGGAGAGUUAAAUAGUGCAUCCAUCCAAAUCAGCCGCGAUGUUCUCUAGUCCCCCACGCUAUAAUCCAUGGGGAAUGCCUACCGAAACAAGUUGCUCAUUCCCUCGUGGACGUGUUAAGUGGUCCGUCUCUCAAAAUCAAAUAUCCCAUACAGCAGAUUGAAAAAAGACAGUGACAAAGAUGGGCGACGAAGAGGUCGUGUAGAUCAGUAGAUGAGGAUGUUGUCAAAGGAGAGAGCACGAAAAGACCAUCGAAGGUGCAGCUUGCGGCUUGCGAGCGACACUCAUUGUCAUUGAUGCUUGGAGAAGGACGAGCGUUUGUCAGACCGACCGAACAACAUCAUGAAGAAUCCAAAGUGUGCCUGUGAUGCAUGUGGAAGGCCAUCGUGUGGAUGUCCAGCAGAUGCAUCUAUACCUAGUGGAAGCCACUACAUGGACGAUAGAGCGUGGAGUAGUAUCGAGCACCUCGAAAUUCGUCGAUCAACUCAUCAACAAAUGGAGAUGUGAAUUUUGUCAUUGAUAGUAGUACGUGUCGACAAGGGCUCACUAUUCGACACGGAAACGCUAGGAGUCGUCGUGCCUCUAGAGAAAAUGGUAAUUUUUCCAUUUUUGUAUAGCAUGAUUUUUUUUAGCAGAUCAUCCCAUUCCCAUAUGAUCUAUAGAAAAUGGUGAGUUUAUUUUGUAAACUCUUAGCUACCUAGCUAUAUGCAAUUGUGCUGCUACAUAUGCGAUUGUCAGA